rnacentral:lncRNA from 1 species
UUUAGAAUUAAUUUGGUGAUCAAAAGGAGACUAAUUAAAUAUAUGGGGUUGAUUGUGUAAAUCAUCCAUUCUUUUAUAGUGGGAUAAUGAUCCAUGAUUUAUUGAAUUGGGCUAAAACCCAUAAGGUGCUCCAUGGAUAGUCCGUGGAGGUUAUAAACCCAUGGAUCAUGGAAUAUGACAGGCCAUGUCAAAUAGAGUUUACAUGUUGUAACCCUACUUGUGCCACAACUAUAAAAGGACCUCAUGGCUAGCAAAAUCAGCACUACUAAGAUAGAACAAGAGGGCUAGCCGAUUUUGAGUGUUAGUGAACUUCUCUCAAGGUUAUUCCAAGAGUUGUGGUGUUGUGUGAAACAUUUGAGGCAUCACACUUGAGGUUCUAGGCUCACAAGGUUCUCAAGGAAUCCAAGCAACAAGAAAGAUAUGUUCUCCUAAUAGCUUUUAUGUUUCAAAGUUCCACAUGCCAUGAUAGUUAGGUUAAGAACCUUGGAAAAUUAAAUUUGCAUGUAUCUUAGUAAAACAUAGAUCCAAGGUUUCUAGGGUUGCAUGUACACCUUAGGAGUGUUAGAAUGCUCAUAAACCCUUCAGUGGUAUCAUAGACUAGGCUUGUUUUCUUGAUACUUGAUGCAAAUUGUUGAAAAAACUCAAGAUUUAUGCAUUCUGCUGAGUGAACUCGUCGAGUUCAUGGGGGGUGGGGGGGCUCGACGAGUCCAUGUGUUAAUUCAUCCUACUCGUUGAGUAGGCUCUUGCACUCGAUGUGUAGGAGGCCCUGAAUGCAAAUUUUCGAGUUUUGCUGCUGGAAAUGGACUAGAAACAUUACCCUAAACUGUUUUGGUCUUAUAAAACUUGUUUUAGAUGGUGUAAUGGUUAUGCUAAUCCAUUUUCAAUAGCUAUUAUCAAAAUUUCAAGUCUUAUAUGUGUUUUUUAUGAUUCUUGAAAUUGUUGAUAUGAAUGUUCAUGAACUGAUGAGUAUGGUAGAUCAUAGGAAUUAUUUUGUUAGUUUAAUUCUUAAUCAUGAUGUGUUUUAAUGGAAUCCAUAAUUUUACCUCAAGUUAUGGAUUACCAAAAGCCUUUCUUUUAAAGUCCAUUAAUAAACACAUAGGUUACAUAAAAUGAAAAGUCUCUCGUUUUAAUAAACCAUUAACUCAUAAGUUAUGAAAGAUGAAAAGUUUUGAACGUUACAAAACUUGCCCUCACGUUUUGGAACAUGUAAAGUCACUUUAAAAACUUUAGUUCCAACCCCUAGAAUUUUAAAAGUUAAAAUUCAACCCUUAUACUUUAUAAUAUUAUAAGUUUANNNNNNNNNNNGGGGUAUAAGGUUGUUGCCUAUAAAAUGAUAGCUUAAUGGGUGUCCACUCUCACCCAUCGCUUCCUUGAUUGGGGGAGGGUCGUUAGCCGAACGGGUAGAACAAUGAAUUUAAUCCUCAUUAAAAGUAUGAUGGUUAUAAAAUAACUAAAUGUUUUAUAAAUUCCCAAUCUUAGUUACUUUAGAAAAAUGUGAAUAUGGUGCUAACCCAUGAAAUUACACUUUGCACUUUGCUUAAGUCAUUAGUGGAGCGUGUGUGGUUAACCAACACACUUACCUGGACUUAACAAGUUAGGCAAAGGGUGGCUUAAGGUUUAUCAUAGAUCGGUGGAGCGCGUGUGGUUAACCGGCACAUCGGUUAGGUGAUAAACAUUAAGAAUACCAAGCAAUUUGCAUGGUUAAUUCACACCCUGUUUUGUGAUCCUCGGCAUCCCAGUCAUAAAACUUGAAUGGCACAUUCGAGAUUGAACAUGUCGUUGAAAAGUUCAAUGAAUCUCAAAGAAUCUAGGAGUUUCCAAACUAAUUAAAACCUAAUAAUAUAUUUCGUUUUUCAUGGUGGAAAUUGGUGAAUCGUCAUUCACCUACCUUCAAAUAUUUUAUAGCUUGGAUUAUGGCAUCCCUCUUUUCAGUUAUAAAAUAUUGUGUUGGGUCCUAUCCUUAAUAUUACAUUUGGGUGUCUUAUUAAGGACUAUCUUUAUAUCUAAUCUAAACUUGUCUUUCUUCUUUUUCAUAUGUCUUCCAACAAUGCUGCUUCUGGCUCAAACCCUAUCAGCUCCUUCUCUCUCAUGAACCUUUGUGGGAGAGUCGUCUUUGAAGAUUCCAACUUUAUGGAUUGGAUCCGGAACAUCAUGAUAGUCACUCAUUACGAGGACAAGGAAUAUGUCCUCGACAAGGAGCUUAAGGAACUUGAUGAGUCUUCUACUACUCUUGAGGAGAUCACUGAAUUUCGGACUCAUGAGAGAGAUGCCACCAAAGUGGCAUGUAUCAUGUUGGCCGCAAUGACAUCCGAGCUCCAAAAGUCCUAUGAGGACUUCUACCCUUUUGAGAUGCACUAGGACUUGGUGGACCGCUACCAUUAGAGUGCUCGUCAAGAGCAGUAUGAAAUCAUCUCCUCCAUGAUAACAACCCGAAUGAAGGAUGGUGAAACCAUCAUGGGCCACAUGCAGAAUAUGCAAAGGUAUGUGGAACAUUUGCUAAAAUUGAAUGUGAACUUCCCUGAGGAGUUGGCAAUUGACAUCAUUUUGCACUCCUUACCUUCGUGUUACAAUCAAUUCCGAAUGACAUACCACAUGAACAAUGAGGAAGUUACACUCAGCAAACUUCAAGGACUCUUGAAGACCGCCGAAAGUGGUGUUAAGGGUAAAUCGGUUGUUACCACUCCUACUCCAACCGCGACCCCUGUCUUGGCAAUCAGGCAAGGUAAAAGAGAAGAAGAGGAAGACCCAUUUGAAGGGUACCAAGGGAAAGUCCCUUGAUGGAUACUCUUCAAGUAGAACCAAAAGAGGUUCUAUCACUCCUUCUGCCAACCCUAAAGAGGUUGAAUGCUUCUAUUGCCAUGAAAGGUCGCACUAGAAGUGAAACUGCCCAAAGUACCUGCAAGAUGUUAAGGAUGGGAAAGUAAAACCCAACCAUGCGGGUAUUUACACUAUAUUGUCUAACAACUCACCCCAUUCUAAGUCUUGGGUCCUUGAUACUGGUUAUGGUAUUCACAUAUGUUCUGAUUUGCAGGGACUCAGAAGAAGUGAGAAUCUGGAGCAUGAGAAGAUAAACUUAAUCAUGGGGAAUAGGAAAGCUUCACCUGUCUCCAAGAUUGGAGUUUAUUCUUUGUUGCUAAGCAGUGGGUUAACAUUAGAUUUGAAUAAAUUUUGUUACUUGUCUGAAAUGGCGAAAAAUAUUAUUUCCUUUCAUGGUUUGUACAAACAAGGCUUUACCUUUUCGUUUGAUAAUGAAUGUGGUGGUAUUAAUGCUUUCUUUAAUAAUGUUCUUUAUUUUAAAGCAUUACCUUGUGAUGGUGUGUAUGAAAUUGUGUCGGUUGUUGAUAACCUAGGGAAUAAUGUGUUGUGUAUUAAUUCUUCCACUAACUUGGAUAAAGCAUCAUUAUGGCUUUUCGUCUUGGACAUAUAAGCAAGAAACGCAUAGGCCAGCUCCAAAAGGAUAGAGUCUUUGAGUCAUUUGACCUAAAGUCGGAUGAUAGUUGUGAAUCUUGUUUACUUGGGAAAAUGACAAAGUCACCCUUCACUAGUACUUGUGCUAGGGGUGAGGCAUUGUUGGAUCUCAUACAUAAUGAUGUGUGUGGACCCUUCAGAACCGCCACAAGGGAUGCUAACCGCUUCUAUGUGACUUUUACUGAUGAUUAUAAUAGAUAUGGAUAUGUCUAAUUAAUCAAGCAUAAGUCAGAAGCCUUUGAAAAGUUCAAGGAGUUUAAACAGGAAGUGGAGAAUCAGUUGGGCAGGAACAUUAAGAUGCUUCGAUCCGAUCGAGGUGUUAAGUAUCUUAGUAAAGAUCUCCUUGACUAUCUUAAGGAAUGUGGGAUUGUCUCACAAUUGACACCUUCCAGGACACCACAGCUUUAUGGUGUGGAUGAGAGGCGUAAUCGAACCUUGUUGGAUUUGGUUCGUUCCAUGAUGAGUCGAGCUUCGCUACCAAUCUCAUUUUGAGGAUAUGCCACAGAGUCUUCCGCCCAUAUCCUUAAUCUAGUCCCUACAAAGAAGGUUGCCAAAACACCUCACGAGAUGUGGAAUGGAAAAGUUCCCAAUCUGGACCACAUCAAGAUUUGGGGUUGCGAGGCUUUCGUGAGGUGUGAGACUCACGAUAAGCUCGAACCCCAAAGUGAUAGGUGUAUUUUCAUCGGCUACCCACAGAAAUCCUUUGGUUAUCUCUUCUACAGACCUAGUGAUAAUGUGGUCUUUGUAGCAAUGAGAGGGGUAUUUCGCGAGAGAGAGUUCAUAAGUCAAGGAAACAGUGAGAGGCAAAUUGAGCUUGAAGAAAUUCAAGAUUCAAGUGGUGAAGGAACCUCAAACCCUAGCAAUCAACCUGAGGAAGAAAAUCUUGUUGAUCCGACUAACGAGUCCAUACCUCUGAGGCGUUCCACAAGAUUUAGGAAUGCACCUGAGCAUUACUAUGGUUUCCAUAUUACUGUGGAAGGUGAUACACUUAUCAGUGAUAAUACAUUGGUAAGUCUGGAUGAACCUAACAACUACACGGAAUCCAUGGCAGGCCCUGAGUCUGCUAAAUGGAAAGAGGCUAUGGAUAGCGAGAUACAAUCCAUGUAUGACAAUCAAGUUUGGAACUUGGUUGACAAUGUAACAGGUCGCAAGACAGUCGGGUGCAAAUGGAUCUUCAAGAAGAAGACUGCCAUGGAUGGUAAUGUACACACUUAUAAGGCAUGACUAGUUACAAAGGGCUUUUCUCAAACUCCGGGAGUUGGUUCUGAUGAGAACUUUUCAGCAGUAGCAAAGAUUAAGUCUAUUAGGGUUAUGUUAGCCAUUGUUGCAUUUCAUGAUUAUGAAAUACGGUAAAUAGAUAUCAAAACCGCUUUCCUUAAUGGAAGGUUGGCUGAGGAUGUUUACAUGAGUCAGCCAGAGGGUUUUGUCAGUAUAGAGUACCCUAAUAGAGUAUGUAAGCUUGAGAAAUCCAUCUAUGGAUUAAAACAAGUACCUCACAGAUGAAAUCUUUGUUUCGAUGAGAAAGUCAAAGAUUUUGGCUUUUCGAGGAGCGAAGAUGAAUCUUGUGUAUAUGUCAAGGCUAGUUAGAGUAUAGUUAGCCUUUUGGUAUUGUAUGUGGAUGACAUACUACUCAUAGGAAAUGACAUCCCAACUCUCCAGGAAGUGAAGUCCUGGUUUGGGAAGUGUUUCGCUAUGAAGGACCUUGGUGAAGCUACCUAUAUCCUAGGGAUAAGGCUUUUGAGAGACAGGAGUAAGAGACUAAUUGGACUUAGUCAGAGUACCUACUUGGAUAAGGUGCUGAAUAGGUUCAGCAUGCAAAAUUCCCAGAAAGGAGGAUUACUGAUCCUGAGUAACACCAGAUUGAGUAAGACUUAGAGCCCGAGUACAGAGGCUGAGAUAGCAAAGAUGAGUCGAGUACCGUUUGCUUCCGCUGUAGGCUCGAUCAUGUAUGCUAUAACUUGUACUCGUCCUGAUGUGGCCUUUGCUUUAAGCAUGGUUAGCGGAUAUCAGGGGAACCCUGGCAAGGCUCACUUGACUGCGAUAAAGAAAAUUCUUAAGUACAUGCAGAGGACUAAGGACUGGGUCCUUACCCUCAGUGGGAGUGAUGACUUGAGAGUAGUAGGGUAUAGUGAUGCUAGCUUCCAGACUGAUAGGGAUAAUUUCCCCUCUCAGUCAGGUUGGGUCUUUACCUUAAAUGGAGGAUCAAUUGCUUGGAAAAGUUCCAAGCACGAGACAGUGGCCGGUUCAACUUGCAAAUUAGAGUAUAUAGCGGCAAGCGAGGCAGCAAAGGAGGCUAUAUGGCUAAAGAACUUCAUUGGAGACCUUGGAGUUUUACCAGAUAUAAAGCAGCCUAUGAAGAUUUUCUGUGAUAGUGAAAGUGCAGUUGCCUUAGCCAAGGAACCAAGGGAUCACGGAAGAUCCAAACACAUCGACAGAAAAUACCAUUUCAUUAUACAUCGAAUAGAAUACGGAUUCCUCGUAGAAAAGAGGGUAUCAUCGGAUGAGAACCCAAUACAUCCCCUCACGAAGGGACUGGGUAGGUUUAAGCGUCUUCAACACGCAAGGCGCGUAGGGCUAAAGGAUGAUAUUAGUUUUAGAAAUUAGAUAGCUUUGAAAUUUGUAAAGUGUAAUUGACAUUUGAUGGUAAAUAAAAGUUAUUGUUUAUUUAUAAGUAAAGUGUUGCUAUCUUCUGUCAAUCGUUUACUAUCAUUUCAAUUUGCAUGUUUUGACUUCCAGAAUAAUUAUGUUAUGGUAUAUCAUAUUAUUCAAAUUCUCCACAGUCGGUCAUAUGUUGGAAGUAGAUAUGAAUUAAGACUGUCAUGAAGUUGGCUUGUAGAUGUCUAAGGUGUUGGACAUAUCAAGAGUUGCUACAACAUUCAUGAGUGCUCAUAAGUUCUGAGUAUUGGAUUCAACCCACGCUCACUUGUAUCACUUCAUGGAAUUUAUCUCGAGUGAUCGUGAGACGGUAAUAUCAUAUAAGUCUUCAAACCUAGAGAUAUGAGUUGUUGACUAUGAGUUGGUUAUACAUUGAUUGCACGAAAACGCAUUGGUAACUCGAGGUUAUAAAACGUGCCUUUGUGUAUGAUUCAACAAGUAGUAGAACAAACUUAUGAGUCGAAGUUUAUCUAUUCCGUCUUGGAUUAGAAGAGAUAUUUGAGCCCCUCGAUGAUUUUGUGUUGACCUAUGUACCGGGCCCCGUCAGAACUAAAUUGAUGUGUUCAAUUAAGUUCCGUGUCAAACAAAUCGGAAAUCGGGAAACAAACUGAUGGACAAAAAUUAAGACAUUGUUCCAUGUAUUUGUCUGGCCGAUAUCUAGAAUAGAGGAUUAUAUGAUCACUUAUCUUAAAUAGCGUAUCAUCAUCAUCUCAGUUCUGCGAGACCUUAAAAGAGCUACGAUUGCUGAUCGGUUCNUGCUGAUCGGUCCUGAAGUUAUUCUUGCAGUUAUAGUUAUUAGACUUAUCCAAGUGGAAGACUUUUGGAUUAGGUGUCUAGGUCAUAACUAUGUGAGAAAGGACUUGGAUACACUAAAUGUGAGAAAGGACACUUAAGUUCUAAUAUAUUAAUAAUAUUAUUUAAUUAGGUUGCAUGGCAUUACAACACUUGGAUAGACUAAAUGUGAGAAAGGACACUUAAGCUUUAUUAAUAUAUUAUAAGUUCUAAUAUAUUAAUAAUAUUAUUUAAUUAGUAUUGAUCAAGAAUUAAUUUAGAAUUAAUUUGGUGAUCAAAAGGAGACUAAUUAAAUAUAUGGGGUUGAUUGUGUAAAUUAUCCAUUCUUUUAUAGUGGGCUAAUGAUCCAUGGUUUAUUGAAUUGGGCUAAAACCCAUAAGGUGCUUCAUGGAUAGUCCAUGGAGGUUAUAAACCCAUGGAUCAUGGAAUAUGAAAGGCCAUGUCAAAUAGGGUUUACAUGUUGUAACCCUAGUUGUGACACAACUAUAAAAGGACCUCAUGGCUAGCAAAAUCGGCACUACUAAGAUAGAACAAGAGGGCUAGCCGAUUUUGAGUGUUAGUGAACUUCUCUCAAGGUUAUUCCAAGAGUUGUGGUGUUGUGUGAAACAUUUGAGGCAUCACACUUGAGGUGCUAGGCUCACAAGCUUCUCAAGGAAUCUAAGCAACAAAAAAGGUAUGUUCUCCUACUAGCUUUUAUGUUUCAAAGUUCCCCAUGCCAUGCUAGUUAGGUUAAGAACCUUGGAAAAUCAAAUUUGCAUGUAUCUUAGUAAAACAUAGAUCCAAGGUUUCUAGGGUUGCAUGUACACCUUAGGAGUGUUAUAAUGCUCAAAACCUUCACUUACCAUGUCAAUCAAUACACCAAAUCAGACGUUUGGUACGCAGUGACGAGAAUUGGGAAAGCUUUAUUUACUAUAGUCAUAUAAAUCUAUUUAUCAUUUUUAAAAGUUACAUGUCAGUUCUAAUACCGUAAUU